rnacentral:rRNA from 1 species
UUGAGUCAGAUGCUGCAGACCCGAAGCUAAGUGAUCUAUCCAUGGCCAAGUUGAAACGCGUGUAAUAGCGCGUGGAGGACUGAACUCGUACCCAUUGAAACGGGUUGGGAUGAGCUGUGGAUAGGGGUGAAAGGCCAAACAAACUUAGUGAUAGCUGGUUCUCUUCGAAAUAUAUUUAGGUAUAGCCUCAAGUGAUAAUAAAAGGGGGUAGAGCUCUGAUUGGGCUAGGGCUGCUCGCCGCGGUACCAAACCCUAUCAAACUUCGAAUACCUUUUAUCGUAUCUUGGGAGUCAGGCGGUGGGUGAUAAAAUCAAUCGUCAAAAGGGGAACAACCCAGACUACCAAAUAAGGUCCCUAAGUUCUAUUCUGAGUGGAAAAAGAUGUGUGGCUACUCAAACAACCAGGAGGUUGGCUUAGAAGCAGCCAUCCUUUAAAGAAAGCGUAACAGCUCACUGGUCUAGUGGUCAUGCGCUGAAAAUAUAACGGGGCUAAGAUAGACACCGAAUUUGUAGAUUGUGUUUGACACAGUGGUAGAAGAGCGUUCAUACCAGCGUUGAAGGUAUACCGGUAAGGAGUGCUGGAGCGGUAUGAAGUGAGCAUGCAGGAAUGAGUAACGAUAAGAUAUAUGAGAAUUGUAUCCGCCGUAAAUCUAAGGUUUCCUACGCGAUGGUCGUCAUCGUAGGGUUAGUCGGGUCCUAAGCCGAGUCCGAAAGGGGUAGGUGAUGGCAAAUUGGUUAAUAUUCCAAUACCGACUUAUGGAGCGUGAUGGGGGGGACGCAUAGGGUUAAGCGAGCCAGCUGAUGGAAGCGCUAGUCUAAGGGCGUAGAUUGGAGGGAAGGCAAAUCCACCUCUGUAUUUGAAACCCAAACAGGCUCUUUGAGUCCUUUUAGGACAAAGGGAGAAUCGCUGAUACCGUCGUGCCAAGAAAAGCCUCUAAGCAUAUCCAUAGUCGUCCGUACCGCAAACCGACACAGGUAGAUGAGAUGAGUAUUCUAAGGCGCGUGAAAGAACUCUGGUUAAGGAACUCUGCAAACUAGCACCGUAAGUUCGCGAUAAGGUGUGCCACAGCGAUGUGGUCUCAGCAAAGAGUCCCUCCCGACUGUUUACCAAAAACACAGCACUUUGCCAACUCGUAAGAGGAAGUAUAAGGUGUGACGCCUGCCCGGUGCUCGAAGGUUAAGAGGAUGCGUCAGUCGCAAGAUGAAGCGUUGAAUUGAAGCCCGAGUAAACGGCGGCCGUAACUAUAACGGUCCUAAGGUAGCGAAAUUCCUUGUCGGUUAAAUACCGACCUGCAUGAAUGGCGUAACGAGAUGGGAGCUGUCUCAACCAGAGAUUCAGUGAAAUUGUAGUGGAGGUGAAAAUUCCUCCUACCCGCGGCAAGACGGAAAGACCCCGUGGACCUUUACUACAACUUAGCACUGCUAAUGGGAAUAUCAUGCGCAGGAUAGGUGGGAGGCUUUGAAGUAAGGGCUUUGGCUCUUAUGGAGCCAUCCUUGAGAUACCACCCUUGAUGUUUCUGUUAGCUAACUGGCCUGUGUCAUCCACAGGCAGGACAAUGCUUGGUGGGUAGUUUGACUGGGGCGGUCGCCUCCUAAAAAGUAACGGAGGCUUGCAAAGGUUGGCUCAUUGCGGUUGGAAAUCGCAAGUUGAGUGUAAUGGCACAAGCCAGCCUGACUGUAAGACAUACAAGUCAAGCAGAGACGAAAGUCGGUCAUAGUGAUCCGGUGGUUCUGUGUGGAAGGGCCAUCGCUCAAAGGAUAAAAGGUACCCCGGGGAUAACAGGCUGAUCUCCCCCAAGAGCUCACAUCGACGGGGAGGUUUGGCACCUCGAUGUCGGCUCAUCGCAUCCUGGGGCUGGAGCAGGUCCCAAGGGUAUGGCUGUUCGCCAUUUAAAGCGGUACGCGAGCUGGGUUCAGAACGUCGUGAGACAGUUCGGUCCCUAUCUGCCGUGGGCGUAGGAAAGUUGAGGAGAGCUGUCCCUAGUACGAGAGGACCGGGAUGGACGUGUCACUGGUGCACCAGUUGUUCUGCCAAGAGCAUCGCUGGGUAGCUACACACGGAUGUGAUAACUGCUGAAAGCAUCUAAGCAGGAAGCCAACUCCAAGAUGAACUUUCCCUGAAGCUCGCACAAAGACUAUGUGCUUGAUAGGGUAGAUGUGUAAGCGCAGUAAUGCGUUUAGCUGACUACUACUAAUAGAGCGUUUGGCUUGUUUUU